CGACCAAGCAAUACCAGGCUAUAAACUUAACGAUUCGUAUGAAAUACGUUUAAUUUUUUGUUCAACCGAAAUCAUUAACUAAUUACCUACGUCGUUGUAUCUGGGGGAAACACAUAAUAAUGAAAACAUGACAAAAUUCAACAAAAAAAAAACAAUUUACGCAAUAAUAUGCCAAUUUACGAUCGCAUGUUAAUAAGAGAAAUGACACAAGAUGUAAAUACAAAUUAUGUUUGAGGAAAAGCUUGAUUUUUAUUUUGCCUCAAAUUAUCCUGUUCAGGUAGAUACCUAACAAAGAAACAAUAACCAGUUUAUGACAUACUUGAAUACCUACAUACGUUACUAGAGUAUAUAUACGGAGCGACACUGGUGAAGCUUCACAGUUGACACAUCUUCGUCUCGACAUCAAGUACUACAAUGGCUCUCCUCAAGACUACCUUUGUGCUGCUCCUCAUUGCCUUCGCGAUGUUGGCCUCCGUCGGCGCCGUCCGUGUGGGCCCCUGCGACCAGGUCUGCUCCCGCAUCGACGCUGAGAAGGACGAGUGCUGCAGGGCCCACGGGUACAGCGGGUACAACAGCUGCCGAGGCGGUAGAAUGGACUGUUACUGAUGAUGACUACAACUUUGCUGGUAGUGGAGCCCUUUCAUAGACACAAAAUUUGUGUUUAGGCAAUUUCAAUAGUUUCGGAAUCAUAUUUUUUUUAUUAACCUGUUUCUGUCUAUAAAUACGUUCAAAUACGUUCACAUUCAAAAUUGUAAAUAUCACCUAAUUGUUAUAAAUAAAUUUUACUAACUCAAA